UGCCAGACUCCUACGGGAGGCAGCAGUGGGGGAUAUUGCACAAUGGGGGAAACCCUGAUGCAGCGACGCCGCGUGGGUGAAGAAGUAUUUCGGUAUGUAAAGCCCUAUCAGCAGGGAAGAACGAAGACGGUACCUGACUAAGAAGCCCCGGCUAACUACGUGCCAGCAGCCGCGGUAAUACGUAGGGGGCGAGCGUUAUCCGGAUUUACUGGGUGUAAAGGGAGCGUAGACGGCAGUGCAAGUCUGGAGUGAAAGGCGGGGGCUCAACCCCCGGACUGCUCUGGAAACUGUACGGCUGGAGUGCAGGAGAGGUAAGUGGAAUUCCUAGUGUAGCGGUGAAAUGCGUAGAUAUUAGGAGGAACACCAGUGGCGAAGGCGGCUUACUGGACUGUAACUGACGUUGAGGCUCGAAAGCGUGGGGAGCAAACAGGAUUAGAUACCCUCGUAAG
rnacentral:rRNA from 1 species